CGGCCGCGGUAUUUUGACCGUGCAAAGGUAGCGCAAUCACUUGUCUUUUAAAUAGAGACCUGUAUGAAUGGCUAAACGAGGGCUUAACUGUCUCCCCUUUCAAGUCAGUGAAAUUGAUCUAUCCGUGCAGAAGCGGGUAUAACCAUACAAGACGAGAAGACCCUUUGGAGCUUAAGGUACAAAAUUCAACCACGUCAAGCAACUUAACAAAAAGCAAAAACUUAGUGGAAAAUGAAGUUUUACCUUCGGUUGGGGCGACCGCGGAGGAAAAACAAGCCUCCGAGUGGAAUGGGCUAAAUCCCUAAAACCAAGAGAAACAUCUCUAAGCCACAGAACAUCUGACCAAAAAUGAUCCGGCUAAUAAGACCGAUCAACGAACCAAGUUACCCUAGGGAUAACAGCGCAAUCCUCUCCCAGAGUCCAUAUCGACGAGAGGGUUUACGACCUCGAUGUUGGAUCAGGACAUCCUAAUGGUGCAGCCGCUAUUAAGGGUU
rnacentral:rRNA from 1 species